AGCUUUGCAGGGCGGCAGUAUCAUAGCCAAGAAGUUUAUUGCCAACUGGAAACUUUCCCCAGUACACCGCAGUGGUGACUCGAAGUAUAGGCAGCACUGGCAAUUUUUGACAGUCCCUAGGGA
rnacentral:snRNA from 1 species